GGUAAAUCUCGUGCCAGCCACCGCGGUCAUACAAGAGACCCAAAUCAACUGUCCCACAAGCGGCGUAAAGAGUGGUAAAAUGCCUAUCCUACCUAACUAAGAUCAAAAUGCAACUAAGCUGUCGCAAGCACAAGAUGCACCUAAACACACCAUCAAGAUGAUCUUAGAAACUAGCGAUUGAUUUGAACCCACGAAAGCCAGGGCCCAAACUGGGAUUAGAUACCCCACUAUGCCUGGCCCUAAAUCUUGAUACUUACCCUACCGAAGUAUCCGCCAGAGAACUACGAGCACAAACGCUUAAAACUCUAAGGACUUGGCGGUGCCCUAAACCCACCUAGAGGAGCCUGUUCUGUAAUCGAUGAUCCACGAUCAACCCUACCGUCCCUUGCCAAGCACAGCCUACAUACCGCCGUCGCCAGCCCACCUCGAAUGAGAGCACAACAGUGGGCGCAACAGCACCCCGCUAAUAAGACAGGUCAAGGUAUAGCCUAUGGGGCGGAAGAAAUGGGCUACAUUCCCUAUACAUAGGGCAGCACGGAAAGAAGUAUGAAACUACUUCUGGAAGGAGGAUUUAGCAGUAAAGCGGGAUAAUAAAGCCCGCUUUAAGCCGGCCCUAGGGCACGUACAUACCGCCCGUCACCCUCCUCACAAGCCACACCCCCACAUAACUAAUACCACGUAAAUGCCAA
rnacentral:rRNA from 1 species